rnacentral:lncRNA from 1 species
UAGCUUUUAAAGAGAAAUAACUUGCAUCAAAUAGAGGAAGGACUAACUUAGACUUUGAUAUAUUACAGUUGUAUUUCACUUAAAAAUUCACGGAGAUAUUAAUCUUUAAAUUCGGGAGGAUAUUUCUGGAUGUGUCUGAAAUAUGCGAAAAUCGGCGUAUCAAAUAUUAAUCAAGAUUUGCCCGACUGAAACAUGCACUAUUACCAGUAAAUAAAUGACACUUGACAAAUUGUUUAUUAUGAAACAAAGUAUUAUUAUAUCUACAAAAUACAAGCAAGAUUCAUUCGAAAUUCGCGUGUGUUCCUAACACGAAUACGUUUCCUUAUUUCAUGAGACCACUGCAUCGCGAAGGAUCGUCAUUGGAUCGUUCGUAGUUCUGAAUUAGGGCAUGCUGUCACAACGGCAUUGUGAAGCUCUUCUAACUUCUGCAACGUUCUGAAAUCUUGUUAAGAACACCCAAACUCUUUUGCCGUUUCUUAAUCUUGGCAAGUUCAUGGAGUAAGCUGAGAAUUAUAUGAAACACAAUCAAACCAUACAACUCCAUAAGACAUAACAAUUAAGCAACUCCCCAGAGACAUGCAACAUUUUUGGAACAAAACGUCACAAAAUAGUAGCGUUGAUACGGUGAUGUGUAUUUGCAAAAAGCAAUAUUAUUUCCUUCAAUAAAGAAUAUUCAUCCUGCUCUAACCGAGAAAUAAUCUACUCAGUCUGUUUA